UCCUGGCUCAGGACGAACGCUGGCGGCGUGCCUAAUACAUGCAAGUCGAACGAACUCUGGUAUUGAUUGGUGCUUGCAUCAUGAUUUACAUUUGAGUGAGUGGCGAACUGGUGAGUAACACGUGGGAAACCUGCCCAGAAGCGGGGGAUAACACCUGGAAACAGAUGCUAAUACCGCAUAACAACUUGGACCGCAUGGUCCGAGCUUGAAAGAUGGCUUCGGCUAUCACUUUUGGAUGGUCCCGCGGCGUAUUAGCUAGAUGGUGGGGUAACGGCUCACCAUGGCAAUGAUACGUAGCCGACCUGAGAGGGUAAUCGGCCACAUUGGGACUGAGACACGGCCCAAACUCCUACGGGAGGCAGCAGUAGGGAAUCUUCCACAAUGGACGAAAGUCUGAUGGAGCAACGCCGCGUGAGUGAAGAAGGGUUUCGGCUCGUAAAACUCUGUUGUUAAAGAAGAACAUAUCUGAGAGUAACUGUUCAGGUAUUGACGGUAUUUAACCAGAAAGCCACGGCUAACUACGUGCCAGCAGCCGCGGUAAUACGUAGGUGGCAAGCGUUGUCCGGAUUUAUUGGGCGUAAAGCGAGCGCAGGCGGUUU
rnacentral:rRNA from 2 species